UCUCAAAGUAUAGCUGCAAGUUGGACCGACCGCACAGGUCUCCUGGGUCAUUCGACUCGGAGCGGCGGGGUUUCAGCCGGGCCGCGUCCGGGAGAAGCAGCGGAGACCCCAGCAGGCGGGCGCCGUCCGACAGAUUUACCGUCUGCGUCGGCCCCCGGGGAGCCGCUCCCCCGCUCCCGCAGCACUUGUUCUGGGCGCGGACUCCAAACGGAGGCCGCCGGCCCCAGGGGAGGAGUGAGCCCGCCCCAGCAGCGCCACCCAAAGGACCCGGGGCAGGGUUCGGGGCCAUCCGCGGCCGGGCGCGCCCCCCACCCGGAAAGCGGCGACGGCCCCAAGUUGGGCUGCGGAGUGGGAGGCGCGCCGAGCCCCAGGCAGACAAUACGGGAGAAGGGUGAUGCGCAGAGAGGAGGGGUCCGCAAAGAAGAGGCCGAGGAUCUGACCAGCCGCCUGCAGUAUUUCCGACGGCAUGUGGGAGAGUUGGAGAGGGAGCAGAAGAAGGCAAAUAGGGUGAGUCAACCACCUAACCAUGUCGUGGCAGCCCGGCUUUCCAGAUGGAGGAGUGAGCCUAAAGGUCCCUUCUGCAGGAAGGCAUGUCCCACCCAGAAGGCAGCAUGGGCCAUUUCUCACUGCUUUUGUGUGUGGUCAUUAGAGGCAGUUGGCUGCUGUGGGUGAGUUGGAGGGCACUGAGGGGAGCAAGUAUUGGACACAGAGCUUGGAGGCCAAAUGCUUGCCCUGCCCUUACCUGACUGUGGCAUUGACCAAGUCCUAGGUGGGGGUUACGAUACUUGUACCAUAAAGAUACAGAAGAUUAUCUUUAAUAUGUUACCAUUUGUGUAGACAGUGGGAACACAUGUGUGUGUGUGUGUGUGUGUGUUAGUGUGUGUGUGUGUACUAUGAAACUAUACAUAAAACAUGUCUGCAAGGAUUGGUAAAAAACUCAGGAGAGGCCGGGUGCGGUGGCUUAAGCCUGUAAUCCCAGCACUUUGGGAGGCCGAGACGGGCGGAUCACAAGGUCAGGAGAUCGAGACCAUCCUGGCUAACAGUGAAACCCGUCUCUACUAAAAAAUACCAAAAAAAAACUAGCCGGGCAGGGUGGCGGGCCUGUAGUCCCGGCUACCGGGAGGCUGAAGAGGCAGGAGAAUGGCCGAGAACCGGGAGGCGGAGCUUGCAGUGAGCUGAGAUCCAGCCACAGCACUCAGCCUGGGUGACAGAAGCGGUGUCUCAAAA
rnacentral:lncRNA from 1 species